rnacentral:rRNA from 1 species
AACGAACGCUGGCGGCAGGCUUAACACAUGCAAGUCGAACGCAUCCUUCGGGGUGAGUGGCAGACGGGUGAGUAACGCGUGGGAACGUGCCCUUCAGUUCGGGAUAACCCAGGGAAACUUGGGCUAAUACCGGAUACGUUCGAUAGCAGAAAGAGUUAUCGCUGAAGGAUCGGCCCGCGUCUGAUUAGCUAGUUGGUGGGGUAAUGGCCCACCAAGGCGACGAUCAGUAGCUGGUCUGAGAGGAUGAUCAGCCACAUUGGGACUGAGACACGGCCCAAACUCCUACGGGAGGCAGCAGUGGGGGAUAUUGGACAAUGGGCGCAAGCCUGAUCCAGCCAUGCCGCGUGAGUGAUGAAGGCCUUAGGGUUGUAAAGCUCUUUCGUCCGGGACGAUAAUGACGGUACCGGAAGAAGAAGCCCCGGCUAACUUCGUGCCAGCCGCCGCAGUAACAC